AAGCGUGGUCUCCUGAUCUUCCCAGGAAGGCGUCACGCGCAGGCGCAGGAGUGAAACGGAGGUUCCUGGAAGAGGGAAGAAGCACUUCAGCUUGAAGCGCCUUUUGUUCGGUCUGGUCACUGAGCGCUCGCAGCGUCCUAGGGCAUGCCUGCGCGAAAGGGGGACACCGGCUCAGGCUGGCGGCUCCCGGGGCAGCUGAGGGAACAUGGCUAGGAACGUUGGGGUCUCAGGGCUGCAGGGGAAGAAUCGUGACUGUCCAUACAUUGUUCAAAGCCAACCGGUUUCCUUCAUCAGCCGCUGCUGUCUGAUUCCCUAAGUCCCCUCCUCUACACCACCUCUCUCAAAGAAGUAGAGACCAGAUAGGAUUUGAAUGGAAGGCCACAUGAUGUUACCUGCUUCCACAGGCUUUUGGCAUCCCUAUUCCCCGCAGUGCAGCCAGCAACUCUCUCUGCUGUAUCCUAGAGCACCUGGAGGUUAAUGAUCAGUGCUGGAGUGGGACACACAGGAUAAAAGCAAGUAUCAGAGGUAAGUAAGUGGCUAGGCAGGUAGUGGUUCUUCUGCCCCAUUCCCUCUGCAUGAGCAUUGUGGGGAAGAGGUCUGGGUGAUAGCCAUCAUUUAUUUGGAAUCUCCCUCCUCCUCAUUGGAGAAUAGCAAGACCCUGAUAUUUGCAAGGACCCUACUGACCUUGCCUCUGUCAGCAGUCACUCAGCAACCCACCACCUCUGCUCUGGAUCUUUAGUACAGAUUUUGAUGAUUCCCUGGAGUACUGUAGUGUCAUCACGUGCCUUCACAGUAAAUAUGCAGGAACCAAGUUUUCUUUGGCAGAAAGAGAAUUAUUAAUUGCAAGGACCCCUCGGGAACAAAGCUUCAUCAGGAAAGAAUGAGCUGUGCUCAGGUGUUCCCUUCAGAAGUGCUGGUUCGCUGCUGCUUCUGCAGCUCACUUGAAUGAUGAGAAUCUUCUAUAAGGCAAGCCUCAGUCCUGUCUGCCUGGACACUCACUAUCCAGCUGUCUCCAUCAAAAAGUUUGGCCCAGGCCCUCUCCUAGGAACGAGAGAUCCCUUUGCUCUUCUCCAUCAGACCCUGUGGAAUAGUGGGGAAGAGUGGAAAGUGGAACACGCACUCUCUUCCUGCUCCUCUAGGAUGCCGGGCCAGCUUCCGCCACUUUUACCAACUUCACACUCCAUCCCCUUCCUCUCCUUUACUAGCCCAUUGGGCCCUCCAAGAUCCAAAACAAAACAUUUUUUAAAAUGUGCAGGUCC